rnacentral:rRNA from 2 species
UACGAAGGGUGCAAGCGUUAAUCGGAAUUACUGGGCGUAAAGCGCGCGUAGGUGGUUCAGCAAGUUGGAGGUGAAAUCCCCGGGCUCAACCUGGGAACUGCCUCCAAAACUACUGAGCUAGAGUACGGUAGAGGGUAGUGGAAUUUCCUGUGUAGCGGUGAAAUGCGUAGAUAUAGGAAGGAACACCAGUGGCGAAGGCGACUACCUGGACUGAUACUGACACUGAGGUGCGAAAGCGUGGGGAGCAAAC